ACUUAAAUUGAAGAGUUUGAUCAUGGCUCAGAUUGAACGCUGGCGGCAGGCCUAACACAUGCAAGUCGAGCGGUAGCACAGAGAGCUUGCUCUCGGGUGACGAGCGGCGGACGGGUGAGUAAUGUCUGGGAAACUGCCUGAUGGAGGGGGAUAACUACUGGAAACGGUAGCUAAUACCGCAUAAUGUCGCAAGACCAAAGUGGGGGACCUUCGGGCCUCAU
rnacentral:rRNA from 1 species